GAAUUCUGAGGUCCAGGAAGUCUCCUUAAAGUUGGCACAAAUGCAGUAAGUGGCAACACUGGCAUGAAAGCCCAGGCCCCCUACUUCCCAAUCCAGUAGCGGGAGAAGUAAUAGCAUCAUUAGCAAUACCAACCACAAUAGAAACAGUGAACACUUACAUACUGGGCAGGUGCUGUUUGCACGUAAGAUCUCAAAAUCCUUACAACAGUGCUAUGAAGCAGGUGCUAUGGUUAACUUUAUUUUAGAGAUGAAGACCCAUCCCAAAGCAAUAGAGAAGCAGCUCCACAGGAAGAAAGUCAGAGAAUGAAAGAAGGCAGAAAAAAAGGGCUUCAUUAACUGACCGUGUUCUAGCAGUAUAUAUUUACAGAUGGCAGAGAGGAAACACACUAUAUUCUGGAAAGACCAAAGGACCCUGUGAAAGACUGCAGAUGAGAGACGAAAAGCAUGGCAAAUAACCUUAGCAUCAGGAAGUAAUAAGAAAAUAAAAAUGAAAUUGUGAAAGCC